rnacentral:lncRNA from 1 species
GAAGACUUGAAAGAGCGUAUGGAAAAUUGCUAAACUUCUGCAGCCUUUCUGUCUACCUUUUGGGACAACUAUUCAAAACCAGAUGUCAGAUGAGUGGACAUCAGAAACAAAUCCAUCAGAAAAAAACCUCAACAGAAAGAUGAGAGGAAAGAAGGCUGAAGAUAAUUCUGUGUGCUUCAACACAAAAGUGAGAAGUCUUUCAAGUGUGAGAUUUGCUCUUAUACCUUCAUUGAUACAAGCUCCCUGCAGCAGUGUUUCUGAACAUGCACUAAUGAGAGGCCUUGCAAAUGCUGGCUCUGUUCAUAUAGUCGCAUUUAGAAGAAGAGCUUGGACCUUCACAUAUGCUGACAUCACACUGGUGAGGUGUGGUUUUUGCUGCUGUUCUUCUGAGAAACAGUUUCUCCAAAAACACAUUAAGAAACAUCACCUAGGUUCAAGAACUUUCUUAACCAGCUCCCAGCUCACUUUUACCCUCAAAUCACUUCCUGUGGAAAAUUAG